rnacentral:misc_RNA from 1 species
AAGAGUUGCAAAGCUCCCAAACCAUUGUGAACGUACCUUCAACGUUGCUUCGGCGGGUUGGCCCCGGCCUCCGGGGUCUCCGGCCCUCCUCGGGCGCCCGCCGGAGGUAUCUAACUCUUGAACUUUUAUGGCCUCUCUGAGUCUUCGUACUUAAUAAGUCA